AUGGUAUGUACUGGCUUUACUGAUUCCUCCUUCUUGAAGAACUGUAAUGUCAUUAAUUUGGUGUUGCAGGGAAACAGGACUGUUACUUUGAAAAAAUUAGAGUGUUUAAAGCAGGCUAACGCUUGAAUACAUUAGCAUGGAAUAAUGAAAUAGGACGUUCGAUCCUAUUUUGUUGGUUUCUAGGAUUGACGUAAUGCUUAAUAGGGAUAGUUGGGGGCAUUAGUAUUCAAUUGUCAGAGGUGAAAUUCUUGGAUUUAUUGAAGACUAACUACUGCGAAAGCAUUUGCCAAGGAUGUUUUCAUUAAUCAAGAACGAAAGUUAGGGGAUCGAAGACGAUCAGAUACCGUCGUAGUCUUAACCAUAAACUAUGCCGACUAGGGAUCGGAUGAUGUUAAUUUUUUAAUGACUCAUUC
rnacentral:rRNA from 1 species